rnacentral:rRNA from 1 species
GACGAAUGCUGGCGGCGUGCCUAAUACAUGCAAGUAGAACGCUGAAGGAGGAGCUUACUUCUCUGGAUGAGUUGCGAACGGGUGAGUAACGCGUAGGUAACCUGCCUGGUAGCGGGGAAUAACUAUUGGAAACGAUAGCUAAUACCGCAUAAGAGUAGAUGUUGCAUGACAUUUACUUAAAAGGUGCAAUUGCACCACUACCAGAUGGACCUGCGUUGUAUUAGCUAGUUGGUGGGGUAACGGCUUACCAAGGCGACGAUACAUAGCCGACCUGAGAGGGUGAUCGGCCACACUGGGACUGAGACACGGCCCAGACUCCUACGGGAGGCAGCAGUAGGGAAUCUUCGGCAAUGGACGGAAGUCUGACCGAGCAACGCCGCGUGAGUGAAGAAGGUUUUCGGAUCGUAAAGCUCUGUUGUAAGAGAAGAACGAGUGUGAGAGUGGAAAGUUCACACUGUGACGGUAUCUUACCAGAAAGGGACGGCUAACUACGUGCCAGCCGCCGCGGUAA